rnacentral:rRNA from 1 species
GUAGGGUGCGAGCGUUGUCCGGAAUUAUUGGGCGUAAAGGGCUCGUAGGCGGUUUGUCACGUCGGGAGUGAAAACUCGGGGCUCAACCCCGAGCCUGCUUCCGAUACGGGCUGACUAGAGGUAUGCAGGGGAGAACGGAAUUCCUGGUGUAGCGGUGAAAUGCGCAGAUAUCAGGAGGAACACCGGUGGCGAAGGCGGUUCUCUGGGCAUUACCUGACGCUGAGGAGCGAAAGUGUGGGGAGCGAACAGGAUUAGAUACCCUGGUAGUCCACACCGUAAACGUUGGGCGCUAGGUGUGGGACUCAUUCCACGAGUUCCGUGCCGCAGCUAACGCAUUAAGCGCCCCGCCUGGGGAGUACGGCCGCAAGGCUAAA